CGUGUCUUUGCUCCUCCUUCACCUUCCGCCAUGAUUGUGAGGCUUCCCCAGCCAUGUGGAAACAUAUUCGCAGAGCACCCACUAGGUGCCAGUAAAUGUAUGAGAAGUCCUGUGGAAUAAGACUGAAGUUGUCCUUGCCUUCAAGCAACUUGCAAUUGCCUAAGAACACAGUUUAAAACCACAAAACUAAGCCUUGGAAAUCACAUGCUGUCAUUUCUGCGAUCGGUCAUAACCAGUCCUGAUUCCAUGUUAGAGGAGACUACAUAAGGACACAGGUACCAGAAGAAACUUCUAAGUGCUGCUGUAUUUCACCAAGCUCCAGUUGAUAUCCAAAUUGGACAACUCCUGUGUGCCAGGACAAUGUGCUAGGCUUGCUUUAAAAUGAUACAUACAAAUAAGAUAAAGCAAAGAGACUUGGCUUUAACAUUCAGUAAAACAAUAAUGUGUUUCUUAAUAAUAAACAUUUGCACGUAAAUGCGUCCCAUUUUAAGAAAAAGAUACUUUACCUAUGCUGUUUGUAAGUUAUGUUUCCUUAUAAAUUCUAUUUUCUUAGCAACUCUCUCUAGUUUCAGAGAUGUCUUUCUACUUCCCCUUUGUUUCUCGUGGUGAAUAGCAAUAAAUCAGCUUCAUGCUUAUUGCCAUGAUGAUAAAUCUGCAUGAGUAUAAAAGGAAUUGAGGACAUGUACGUUAUAGAAUUGUACUGAUAUGUACUUUUUAAAUUAUUUAUUUAUUUAUUUAUUUUUUGAGGCAGAGUCUCACUCUGUCGCCCAGGCUGGAGUUCAGUGGCAUGAUUUUGGCUCACCGCAACCUCUACCUCCCGGGUUCAAGCAAUUCUCCUCCCUCAGCCUUCCAAGUAGCUGGGAUUACAGCAUCCACCACCACGCCUAGCUAAUUUUUGUAUUUUUAGAAGAGAAAGGGUUUCACUAUGUUGGCCAGGCUGGUCUUGAAUACCUGACCUCAGGUGAUCCACCCACCUUGGCCUCCCAAAGUGCUAGGAUUACAGGCGUGAGCCACUGCGUCCAGCCCUGAUAUGUACUUUAUAUGAACAUAUUCAUUCAUUUAAAAAUUAUUAUUGAAUACCUACUAGUUGCUUAUCAUUUUAUAAAGUAUAGGACAUAGAGCCUGCCGUCAGUGAACUUCUAAUCAUGUGGGAAAUGCAGACAAUAAACAAAUGAUGCAAAAUUUAUAUUUAACUUAUAAAUAUAAAAAAAGUAUGUUUUAGUGUAUAUAAUGUGUCAGUUUUUGAGUGUUAAAUUUGACAGUGAAUGAAAUUGACAUAGCAUACUUAUAGACAUCUGAUUGAACCUUU
rnacentral:lncRNA from 10 species